GAACGCUGGCGGCGUGCCUAAUACAUGCAAGUCGAGCGGAAACACUUCGGGUGUCGAGCGGCGGACGGGUGAGUAACGCGUAGGAAUCUACCCCAAACUGAGGGUUAAGCUCGGGAAACCGAGUCUAAUACCGCAUAUGGUCUUCGGAUUAAAGCUUCGGCGGUUUGGGAAGAGCCUGCGUUGGAUUAGCUUGUUGGUAAGGUAAUGGCUUACCAAGGCGAUGAUCCAUAGCUGGUCUGAGAGGAUGAUCAGCCACACUGGAACUGAGACACGGUCCAGACUCCUACGGGAGGCAGCAGUAGGGAAUCUUCCACAAUGGACGAAAGUCUGAUGGAGCAACGCCGCGUGCAGGAUGAAUGCCUUAGGGUUGUAAACUGCUUAUAUAGGUGAAGAAUAUGACGGUAACCUAUGAAUAAGGAUCGGCUAACUCCGUGCCAGCAGCCGCGGUCAUACGGAGGAUCCAAGCGUUAUCCGGAAUUACUGGGCGUAAAGAGAUGCGUAGGUGGUUCUUUAAGCAAAAUAUGAAAUCAUAAGGCUCAACCUUACGACUGUGUUUUGAACUGAAGAACUAGAGGAUGGUAGAGGAAGUUGGAAUUCCUGGUGUAGGAGUGAAAUCCGUAGAUAUCAGGAGGAACACCAAUGGCGAAGGCAGACUUCUGGGCCAUUUCUGACACUGAGGCUCGAAAGCGUGGGGAGCGAACCGGAUUAGAUACCCGGGUAGUCCACGCCGUAAACUAUGGAUGCUAGCUGUUAUGGGUAUCGACCCCCGUAGUAGCGAAGCUAACGCGUUAAGCAUCCCGCCUGGGGAGUACGGUCGCAAGAUUAAAACUCAAAGGAAUUGACGGGGACCCGCACAAGCGGUGGAGCGUGUUGUUUAAUUGGAUGUAAGCCAAGAACCUUACCAAGGUUUGACAUCCUCAGAAUUACUAUGAAAGUAGUGAGUGCUUUAUUGAACUGAGUGACAGGUGUUGCAUGGCCGUCGUCAGCUCGUGUCGUGAGAUGUUGGGUUAAGUCCCGCAACAAGCGCAACCCCUAUGAUUAGUUGGAUUUUUCUAGUCAGACUGCCUCGGUAACGGGGAGGAAGGAGGGGACGACGUCAGGUCCGCAUUACCCUUACACCUUGGGCUACAAACGCGCUACAAUGGCCGGUACAAUGGGCAGCCAAAUCGCAAGAUGGAGCAAAUCCCACCAAAGCCGGUCCCAGUUCGGAUUGCAGGCUGAAACUCGCCUGCAUGAAGUCGGAAUCGCUAGUAAUCGUAGGUCAGAACACUACGGUGAAUACGUUCCCGGGUCUUGUACACACCGCCCGUCAUACCAUGGAAGUCGCCAGCACCCGAAGUACAACAUUAGUUGUCCUAAGGUGAGGGAGAUGACUGGGGUAAAGUCGUAACAAGGUA
rnacentral:rRNA from 1 species